AGAGAGAGAGAGAGAGAGAAGGAGAGAGUGAGAGAGCAGGGGAGAGAGAGAGAGAGAGUGAAAGAAAGAAAGAGGUAAAACAAAAUAAAAGAAAUAGUGAUAUAGUUUCUGGUGGCACUAAGGAACACUGGACAUACAGAGUUAAUGGUAUCAACUUGUUGAUAGUUUAAAUAUAUGACAUGAGGUGUUGAUUAGACACCUGGAGAUGGAAAACUUUAAAACUUGAGUGAACUAUGGAAGACGAGCCCAUAUUUUUAGUUAAUCCCAGAAGUUUGUAUUUCUGAGUGACAUAAAGCAUUGCUGUGUGGGUGAUUCCACUAUUGGUGUACCAUUUAACCCUUAUAAUUUCUGCAAAAUGAAAAAUCAUUAUUCCAACACUAAUUCUCAAAAAAAAAAACAUGCAUUUAGCCAUAAAAUUCUUUAUGGCUUUAAAUGUGUUAACCAAGGGAAAUUGUAAUGCUACAAAAGACACUCUUGACAAUUCUGUGCCACUUUGUGGCAACAGUUUGGGAAAGACUCACAUAUGGGUGUGACAGUCAUGUGUUCACAUAUUUUUGGCCAUAUAGUGUAGCAUAAUCUAAUCAAAAAAGAUAUUUGAAUUUUUGCAGUCCUGCAUUUGGGGCAUUAACUAACUACACUUCUAGACCAAUAGCCAUUCUGUGUGACAGUGAAGUGAUGGUGACCUCCAAACUACCUAUGUACAUGUGAAGGGAAUUAUUUAUAGCAUACUGUAUUCUGUAGUAGAGUGCACAGUGGCUUAGUGGUUAGCAGGUCUGCCUCACACCUCCAAGGUUGUGGGUUCGAUUCCCACAGCAGUAUACUGCCCUGUGUGUGUGGAAUGUGCUGGUUCUCCCUGUGCUGCAGGGGUUCCUCUGGGUACUCUGGUUUCCUCCCCCAGUCCAAAGACAUGCAUUGUUGGAUGAUUGGCAUGUCAAAAUUGUCCAUAGUAUACGAAUGUGUGUGAGUGUGCCCUGUGAUGGAUUUGUACCCUGCCUUGUGCCUGAUGCUCCCUGUGAUAUGCUCCAGGUUCAACCCUGUCGGAUAAACAGUACAGAAAAUGGACGGAUGGAUGGAACAAGCACAUAUGGGCGUGAUGUCAGGUGUCCACAAACUUUUAGCCAUACAGAGUAGUAUUCACUGAAGAUUAGUCACAGGACGCAACGAUAAGGCGAGCGGAACCAUUUAUCCGCCAGCUUAAGUUUCCGCUGGGGCGCGUUUGUGCUGCACAGCGGAGUAUGACAGUUUGUAAACACAUUCAGGGAUGCUGAAUGUGCUGUUCCGGCAUUGGCCAGAGGUGAUGUAAUACCCUCUAAAUAAUGCAUGGCCUUAAGAAAGUGAAAGACCAUGAGGCAGAAAGCACAGGCAGAGGAAAUCGAUGUCAGUGUGAGAGAGAGGGAAACCUGCAAGAGUCUGGGCAGAAGACAGCAUCACACAGAAAGAAAUAGCAACAGACAGUGGAGAACCCCACCUCAGAACAACGGGAUGAUCUGACCACCUCCAAAACCAGGAUGUUGAAGCCUUGGGUGGACCAUUGCUCCGUACACCACAUUUCAGUCCCUUUCAUUGAGAUAUUGCUGCCUCCUGACUUGAACGCAUGCAACACCUAAGCUAAACAACACCAUGAUGGGAUCGAACCACCAUUCUUAGCCACCACUUUUCUUAAAACAACAGAGACA
ensembl:lncRNA